ensembl:lncRNA
GUGCUGGCUGCCUGGCAGCCUGCUCUCCUUUCCAGUGAGGGCUGAACACAGGAGAAUCCACCCUUCCUCAGGGGAGCACUUCGACUCCUACACCUGCCCCAUAAGACACUUCCUCAAACACCAGAACUAGAGCUACCUUAGAGUAGCACUCAGAGGUGAGGAAGGCCUAAAAGCAAAGAACCAUACUCCGGAAAUAGGUAGGGUAAACCCACAAAAGGCCCGGAAGUGUUUCCCCAGUGUUUAAGGAAAUUCCUUAACCACGGCGCAGCCUUUGAUUCACUCCCUGUUCCACAAGUCACUGGAAUCGCGCUAACAAAUAGAAUCAAGAAGUGUGAACUCUCGACCCCCGGCUUCAUUACCGUCUCCCAAAGCGUCCCAACAGCCUGACCCAGCGUGACCCCUGACCUCUGCCCCAACUUGCCACUAGCCCUAAGAUGGCCCCGCCCCCUCCUAGACUCCCACCCCACCCAACGUGAGCGACUGGGGGAGGGGCCCGCGCGUGCGCGCCUGGAGGCGGAGAGAGCCGGCUGCGCGCACCGCCCGGGGGCUCCCGCCAGAACCCAAACCCACGCACACAAGGGUCGCAAGGCUAGGCAGUCUUUCAUCCCUGCCGGUCAGGGAGCAACCCCCCACCACCACCAGACCGCGAAAGGCUGAGAUAAGGGAGAGCUAGUGCCGCCAGGUCCCAGCUCCUGACUGGAUAUGGUACGCGUGCGCAGACCGGCGGGAGGGGAGAGGAGACGCGCCCGGGCCCAGCGCCGGCCAGCCUGGCCCCCCUGAGCCUGUCUCUAUGGGCGCGCGCCGACAGCCUCGCGCACCGGCCCCGGGGCCCCGGCCGAAGGUGCGCGCGCAGCAUCCCGGGAAGGUGGGAGGGGAGGCGGUGGCGGAAAGAUGCGCGCGCAAUCACCCGUCAGGGGAGGGGGGAAACUGUGAGGCGUCCGCCAUCUUGUCUCCCUCUCCUUACCUGCGUCCUCGGGGGCGUGCGCACCACCCCCCCUCCCGCCGAGGAGGGGGGAGGGCCCCCUCUUGGCCGCCGCCUUCGCGGCCUUUAAAUUCCCCUGGGGCCCGCGGCUACUACCACCGCCUUGCUUCCACUGCUUCCUCUCGCGGCACAGUGAUGCAGGCGGGCGGUGGGAAAAGUGGAAGACGCUACUCGCAGCGAACCGCCGCCGCCGCUUCCGAGGCCUCACCAAAAUGGCCGCCGCCGUCUCGGCCGCCACCACCAACACCACCGCCACCACCACAGCUCACUAUCGCUACCGCCGGCGCGGCCCGUCUUCUCGCGAGAAACAGUAACUGGAGGUUGGGGGAGCGAGGAAGCUCGCGUGCUAGCGUAGGGCGCUGCCCGAAGCGCAAGGCCGGCUGGGAGAUGUAGUCCGCGCAGAGACAGCGCUUGCCCGCUACGACGCGUUUUUAUCCACUACGGAACCUGCCGCUGGAGCUGCAUUGCGGCUGCCAACUCGGUUGAGUCCGCCCCACUUUAAUAGAUCACCCAGAGUGCUAAAGCAAUUUCUCAGGUACUUUUAGCUAGUUAGCCGUGGAGCAUGGGUCUCUGGAUUCAUAUGGCAGUCCACUUAUGUAGACCUGCUUCAUCUUACACAAGGGUUGUUGUUUAGUCUCUUAAGUUGUGACCGACUCAGUACCACCCCAUGGACUGCAGGUCGCCCAGUUUCCUCGCCCUUCGCUAUUUCCCAGAGUUUGCUCAGACUCAUGUUCAUUGAGUCAGUGAUGUUAAUCAACCAUCUCAUCCUCUGUCUUCCCCCUUAUCCCCCUUCCCUCAAUCUUUCCCA